rnacentral:rRNA from 1 species
UUAUACAUGCAAGUCGAACGGGAGUUUUUAACUCUAGUGGCGGACGGGUGAGUAACACGUAAGAAUUUGCCUUUAGGAGGGGGACAACAACUGGAAACGGUUGCUAAUACCCCAUAUGCUUUCGAGUAAAACGGUUUUCCGCCUAAAGAGAAGCUUGCGGCUGAUUAGCUUGUUGGUAGGGUAAUGGCCUACCAAGGCGACGAUCAGUAUCUGGUUUGAGAGGACGAUCAGACACACUGGAACUGAGACACGGUCCAGACUCCUACGGGAGGCAGCAGUAGGGAAUUUUCCGCAAUGGGCGAAAGCCUGACGGAGCGAUACCGCGUGAGGGAUGAAUGCCUAUGGGUUGUAAACCUCUUUUUUCAGGGAGGAAUAAAUGACGUGUACCUGAAGAAUAAGCAUCGGCUAACUCCGUGCCAGCAGCCGCGGUAAGACGGAGGAUGCAAGUGUUAUCCGGAAUCACUGGGCGUAAAGCGUCUGUAGGUGGCUUAAUAAGUCAACUGUUAAAUCUUGAAGCUCAACUUCAAAAUCGCAGUCGAAACUAUUAGACUAGAGUAUAGUAGAGGUAAAGGGAAUUUCCAGUGGAGCGGUGAAAUGCGUAGAGAUUGGAAAGAACACCGAUGGCGAAGGCACUUUACUGGGCUAUUACUGACACUCAGAGACGAAAGCUAGGGUAGCAAAUGGGAUUAGAUACCCCAGUAGUCCUAGCCGUAAACAAUGGAUACUAGGUGUUGAACAGAUCGACCUGUGCAGUACCAAAGCUAACGCGUUAAGUAUCCCGCCUGGGAAGUAUGC